rnacentral:rRNA from 1 species
UUAAGCGACUAAGCGUACACGGUGGAUGCCCUGGCAGUCAGAGGCGAUGAAGGACGUGCUAAUCUGCGAAAAGCGUCGGUAAGGUGAUAUGAACCGUUAUAACCGGCGAUGUCCGAAUGGGGAAACCCAGUGUGAUUCGUCACACUAUCGUUAACUGAAUACAUAGGUUAACGAGGCGAACCGGGGGAACUGAAACAUCUAAGUACCCCGAGGAAAAGAAAUCAACCGAGAUUCCCCCAGUAGCGGCGAGCGAACGGGGAGCAGCCCAGAGUCUGAAUCAGCUUGUGUGUUAGUGGAACGGUCUGGAAAGUCCGACGGUACAGGGUGAUAGUCCCGUACACCAAAAUGCACAGGUUGUGAACUCGAAGAGUAGGGCGGGACACGUGGUAUCCUGUCUGAAUAUGGGGGGACCAUCCUCCAAGGCUAAAUACUCCUGACUGACCGAUAGUGAACCAGUACCGUGAGGGAAAGGCGAAAAGAACCCCGGCGAGGGGAGUGAAAAAGAACCUGAAACCGUGUACGUACAAGCAGUGGGAGCACCUUCGGGUGUGACUGCGUACCUUUUGUAUAAUGGGUCAGCGACUUAUAUUCUGUAGCAAGGUUAACCGUAUAGGGGAGCCGCAGGGAAACCGAGUCUUAACUGGGCGUUAAGUUGCAGGGUAUAGACCCGAAACCCGGUGAUCUAGCCAUGGGCAGGUUGAAGGUUGGGUAACACUAACUGGAGGACCGAACCGACUAAUGUUGAAAAAUUAGCGGAUGACUUGUGGCUGGGGGUGAAAGGCCAAUCAAACCGGGAGAUAGCUGGUUCUCCCCGAAAGCUAUUUAGGUAGCGCCUCGUGAAUUCAUCUUCGGGGGUAGAGCACUGUUUCGGCUAGGGGGUCAUCCCGACUUACCAACCCGAUGCAAACUACGAAUACCGAAGAAUGUUAUCACGGGAGACACACGGCGGGUGCUAACGUCCGUCGUGAAGAGGGAAACAACCCAGACCGCCAGCUAAGGUCCCAAAGUCAUGGUUAAGUGGGAAACGAUGUGGGAAGGCACAGACAGCCAGGAUGUUGGCUUAGAAGCAGCCAUCAUUUAAAGAAAGCGUAAUAGCUCACUGGUCGAGUCGGCCUGCGCGGAAGAUGUAACGGGGCUAAACCAUGCACCGAAGCUGCGGCAGCGACACUAUGUGUUGUUGGGUAGGGGAGCGUUCUGUAAGCCUGCGAAGGUGUGCUGUGAGGCAUGCUGGAGGUAUCAGAAGUGCGAAUGCUGACAUAAGUAACGAUAAAGCGGGUGAAAAGCCCGCUCGCCGGAAGACCAAGGGUUCCUGUCCAACGUUAAUCGGGGCAGGGUGAGUCGACCCCUAAGGCGAGGCCGAAAGGCGUAGUCGAUGGGAAACAGGUUAAUAUUCCUGUACUUGGUGUUACUGCGAAGGGGGGACGGAGAAGGCUAUGUUAGCCGGGCGACGGUUGUCCCGGUUUAAGCAUGUAGGCUGAUUGUCCAGGCAAAUCCGGAUAAUCAAGGCUGAGGUGUGAUGACGAGGCACUACGGUGCUGAAGUAACAAAUGCCCUGCUUCCAGGAAAAGCCUCUAAGCAUCAGGUAACAUCAAAUCGUACCCCAAACCGACACAGGUGGUCAGGUAGAGAAUACCAAGGCGCUUGAGAGAACUCGGGUGAAGGAACUAGGCAAAAUGGUGCCGUAACUUCGGGAGAAGGCACGCUGGUGUGUAGGUGAAGUCCCUGCGGAUGGAGCUGAGACCAGUCGAAGAUACCAGCUGGCUGCAACUGUUUAUUAAAAACACAGCACUGUGCAAACACGAAAGUGGACGUAUACGGUGUGACGCCUGCCCGGUGCCGGAAGGUUAAUUGAUGGGGUUAUCCGUAAGGAGAAGCUCUUGAUCGAAGCCCCGGUAAACGGCGGCCGUAACUAUAACGGUCCUAAGGUAGCGAAAUUCCUUGUCGGGUAAGUUCCGACCUGCACGAAUGGCGUAAUGAUGGCCAGGCUGUCUCCACCCGAGACUCAGUGAAAUUGAACUCGCUGUGAAGAUGCAGUGUACCCGCGGCAAGACGGAAAGACCCCGUGAACCUUUACUAUAGCUUGACACUGAACAUUGAGCCUUGAUGUGUAGGAUAGGUGGGAGGCUUUGAAGCGUGGACGCCAGUCUGCGUGGAGCCAACCUUGAAAUACCACCCUUUAAUGUUUGAUGUUCUAACGUUGGCCCCUGACCGGGGUUGCGGACAGUGUCUGGUGGGUAGUUUGACUGGGGCGGUCUCCUCCCAAAGCGUAACGGAGGAGCACGAAGGUUAGCUAAUCCUGGUCGGACAUCAGGAGGUUAGUGCAAUGGCAUAAGCUAGCUUGACUGCGAGCGUGACGGCGCGAGCAGGUGCGAAAGCAGGUCAUAGUGAUCCGGUGGUUCUGAAUGGAAGGGCCAUCGCUCAACGGAUAAAAGGUACUCCGGGGAUAACAGGCUGAUACCGCCCAAGAGUUCAUAUCGACGGCGGUGUUUGGCACCUCGAUGUCGGCUCAUCACAUCCUGGGGCUGAAGUAGGUCCCAAGGGUAUGGCUGUUCGCCAUUUAAAGUGGUACGCGAGCUGGGUUUAGAACGUCGUGAGACAGUUCGGUCCCUAUCUGCCGUGGGCGCUGGAGAAUUGAGGGGGGCUGCUCCUAGUACGAGAGGACCGGAGUGGACGCAUCACUGGUGUUCGGGUUGUCAUGCCAAUGGCACUGCCCGGUAGCUAAAUGCGGAAGAGAUAAGUGCUGAAAGCAUCUAAGCACGAAACUUGCCCCGAGAUGAGUUCUCCCUGAGACUUUAAGUCUCCUGAAGGAACGUUAAAGACGAUGACGUUGAUAGGCCGGGUGUGUAAGCGCAGCGAUGCGUUGAGCUAACCGGUACUAAUGAACCGUGAGGCUUAACCUU